rnacentral:rRNA from 1 species
UACGAGGGGGGGCGAGCGUUGUUCGGAAUUAUUGGGCGUAAAGGGCGCGUAGGCGGCGCUCCAAGUUAGGCGUGAAAGUCCUGGGCUCAACCCGGGAACUGCGCUUGAUACUGGAGUGCUUGAGGAUGGAAGAGGGUCGUGGAAUUCCCAGUGUAGAGGUGAAAUUCGUAGAUAUUGGGAAGAACACCGGUGGCGAAGGCGGCGACCUGGUCCAUUACUGACGGCUGAGGCGCCGACAGCGUGGGGAGCAAACAGGG